CUACGGGAGGCAGCAGUGGGGAAUAUUGGACAAUGGGCGAAAGCCUGAUCCAGCCAUGCCGCGUGUGUGAAGAAGGCUUUCGGGUUGUAAAGCACUUUCAGCGAGGAAGAAGGCCUCUGGGUUAAUACCCCAGAGGAAGGACAUCACUCGCAGAAGAAGCACCGGCUAACUCCGUGCCAGCAGCCGCGGUAAUACGGAGGGUGCGAGCGUUAAUCGGAAUUACUGGGCGUAAAGCGCGCGUAGGUGGCUUGGCACGCCGGUUGUGAAAGCCCCGGGCUCAACCUGGGAACGGCAUCCGGAACGGCCAGGCUAGAGUGCAGGAGAGGAAGGUAGAAUUCCCGGUGUAGCGGUGAAAUGCGUAGAGAUCGGGAGGAAUACCAGUGGCGAAGGCGGCCUUCUGGCCUGACACUGACACUGAGGUGCGAAAGCGUGGGUAGCAAACAGGAUUAGAUACCCUGGUAGUCCACGCCGUAAACGAUGUCGAACUAGCCGUUGGGACCUUUAAGGACUUAGUGGCGCAGUAACGCGAUAAGUCG
rnacentral:rRNA from 1 species